GCCUUAGUAACGGCGAGUGAAGCGGCAAAAGCUCAAAUUUGAAAUCUAACACCUCUGGUGUUCGAGUUGUACUUUGGAGAGGCAUCUUCUGGAGGGGCCCAGCCUAUGUGCCUUGGAACAGGACGUCAUAGAGGGUGAGAAUCCCGUCCUUGGCUGGAUGUUCCCUCCUGUAUGUAGUGUCUUCUACGAGUCGAGUUGUUUGGGAAUGCAGCUCAAAAUGGGUGGUAAAUUUCAUCUAAAGCUAAAUAUUGGCGAGAGACCGAUAGCGCACAAGUAGAGUGAUCGAAAGAUGAAAAGCACUUUGAAAAUAGAGUCAAACAGUACGUGAAAUUGUUGAAAGGGAAGCGCUUGAGAUCAGAGUCGGCCUUUGGCAAACAACUGUCCCUUCUGGGUGGUGCACUUGUCAUCGGCUGGGCCAGCAUCGGUUGGGACGGCAGGAUAAAGGCCUGGGGAAUGUGACUCCUCUAUGGAGUGUUAUAGCCCCAGGCGGCAUGCUGUCAGCCCCGACCGUGGACCGCGCCUUCGCUCGGAUGCUGGCUUAAUGGUCUUCAGCGACCCGUCUUGAAACACGGACCA
rnacentral:rRNA from 1 species